GACAGAGGCUCAACCCACUGGGCCACCCAGGCGCCCCUAAAAAGUUUUUUGAAAAACCUUUUUUCUCCAAGUAAUAAAGGCCCACAUUCCUGCUGUGUCACUGACACCGUGCGCGGAGGUACCGCAGCACCGUGUGUUGCUCAGAGCCUUUGUGUUCCAGUCCAGCCCGUCCCUCUUCCGUGGAAGUAACUGUCACUGCAGUUCAGGCUGAACGAUUCUGGCGGAGACCUUACCCAGAACCCCAGUGGCCAGCGGUCAUCAGUUCACCCCCUCCAUCCAUCAGUGGGUCUCUCUCUCCAUCUGUUGACCCAUCCAUCGGUCCCCUUCCCCACCCAUCGGAGUAUCAUCCGUGUGCAUCCGGAUAUAAAGAACGCGGGCCCUCCAAUUCCAUUUACCUGAAGCCCCAGGACACGCCAGACUGAUGUGUGGUGACGCAGGUCAGGCUACCGGAAACUGACAAGGAAGAUGCAGGAGCCAACUUCUUGGAAAAUGGAAAUGAUCUGUAUCUUGAUCCGGGGUCCGGCGAUGCUCCCCAGUAGGGAUGGGGCCCCAAACCCCCACACCCCUGCACCGCGUUCUGAGGAUCGCCAGAAGGGCCUAUAGAGUCCAUAUCUAGUUGACCGAUGACAGCGACAUAGUAAGGACACACGGUGGAUCGGACAGGUGCCGUCUGGAGGGAUCCAUCUGCCGCUCCCUCCCAGCAGCGAACAUGAUGUCACCUGCGUGCAACGCUUUUGCCCGCGGAAGCCCACUAGAUCCUCGGAGCUGCAGGCUUUGGCGGAGGGCUGGUAUGUGGGCACCAUCUGCCUGGCCGGUACCCCAACUCCAGGCUUCCAGAAGGACAGCAGGUGUCAGCGUGAACCAUAUUGUUUUGUACAAAGGGCUGAGGCUCGGUGAGCCCACUUAUCAUUUAGGGAAGUUUUAUAUCACCGGAGGGAAAUGUUUAUCAGGCAAUUUCCCAGUUGUAAGGCAGGGGCCAAGCUCCCAAGCUCAAAAGCCCGGAAGGUUAGCACGGGCGGUUCCUUGCACUGCCCCUCCCCACCCCACCCCACCCCCCUGCUGCUCAGAGGCCUGGUGGCAGUGAUUGGUUUGGACAAGAUAAAAAGCCAGGCAAGACACGGACACCUGGGUGGCUCAGUCAGUUAAGCGUUUGCCUUCACUCAGGUCAAUUCCAGGGUGCGGACAUCAAGUCCCCCAUCCGGCUCCUUGCUCAGCAGGGAUCCUGCUUCUCCCUCUGCCCUCCCCUCCCCCUGUUUGUGCUC